UAGUCCACGCUGUAAACGAUGUCGACUUGGAGGUUGUUCCCUUGAGGAGUGGCUUCCGGAGCUAACGCGUUAAGUCGACCGCCUGGGGAGUACGGCCGCAAGGUUAAAACUCAAAUGAAUUGACGGGGGCCCGCACAAGCGGUGGAGCAUGUGGUUUAAUUCGAUGCAACGCGAAGAACCUUACCUACUCUUGACAUCCAGAGAACUUAGCAGAGAUGCUUUGGUGCCUUCGGGAACUCUGAGACAGGUGCUGCAUGGCUGUCGUCAGCUCGUGUUGUGAAAUGUUGGGUUAAGUCCCGCAACGAGCGCAACCCUUAUCCUUUGUUGCCAGCGGUUCGGCCGGGAACUCAAAGGAGACUGCCAGUGAUAAACUGGAGGAAGGUGGGGAUGACGUCAAGUCAUCAUGGCCCUUACGAGUAGGGCUACACACGUGCUACAAUGGCAUAUACAAAGAGAAGCGACCUCGCGAGAGCAAGCGGACCUCAUAAAGUAUGUCGUAGUCCGGAUCGGAGUCUGCAACUCGACUCCGUGAAGUCGGAAUCGCUAGUAAUCGUGGAUCAGAAUGCCACGGUGAAUACGUUCCCGGGCCUUGUACACACCGCCCGUCACACCAUGGGAGUGGGUUGCAAAAGAAGUAGGUAGCUUAAC
rnacentral:rRNA from 1 species